rnacentral:tRNA from 1 species
AAAUAAGAAGCAAUAUUGCAUUCAGUUUCGACCUGACCCUUGAUGAGAUUCUUCAUCCUUAUUUA